rnacentral:lncRNA from 1 species
GUCUUUUCACUGGAGGCUGCCACCAGCUUCUAGGAAAGAGCAACUAGAUCUCAGAUGAGGAUCACAGAGAUGCACAAAGGGCCCAGCUGUCUUACCUGUGAAGUGGAGCUGGAGACGGAACACACCUGGUGGGCUUUCCAUGCUGACAGAGCUGAUCCCUGGAGUCCUCAGCACACUGCUUAGCCCAUAGUACAGGCCAUGGAAGGGACAUGACUAGUAAGUGCAUAGCCCUCUGUGUCAUAGCACCUUGCCCUACCAGACCAGCACCCAAACAUGACCAGCACUUCCUUCUCUUACUACCCAGGUCCAGAGCCCUGGUCCAGAGCACUCAAACCGGAUUCCUGUUUCAUGUAUUUGAAGAGCCAUGGUCCUUGUGUGUGCCUCUAAAAACCAACGAAAGUGUCAUGGUUGCUGAAGUGAGAAUCUACCUUCUAAAACUUCGGAUUCUUGAAGGCAAGGGACCCCUUCCUGGUCAUUCUGGUUGGAUGAUUCCAUGGAUGAGGAACCCGUGGAUAGGGAUUGUUCACUGUAUUCCCCAAAUUUUAAUGUGUUUGAGGUUUUUCUAUAAUAAAAUGAUUUAAAAAGUUGCCUGCUAUCACUCAACUAACGUGUUAUCAUUGCCACAUAAUGAACCAAUCUAAAUCUAGCAGCUUAAAACCACACAUUUAUUAUCUCACAGUUUUGGGAGGGCAGGAACCUGGGCUCAACUUAGCUGAGUGUCACCUGGUCAGGGUCUUCCAGGGGUUCUGUCCUCUCGUGGCAGGCUGGAGGAGCAGGAUGCAGUUGUAAAUUCCUAUAUGUUAGGUCCUCCCUGACUGUGGUCCAGGAAUAUCAGUUCUUCACCCCAUGGGCCUUUCAAUGAUAGGUUUUACUUUUCCUAAGAUGAUGGCUAUAGAAGAGAAGGAGCCUAGUGUUGGGAAGGUCAGCCCAUCAUUUUUACUGCAUUUUAUUCAUGAAAGCAUCAGUGAGUUCAGUCCACAUUCCAGAGGAAGGGACUACAAAAGGCAGGAAUCAAUGGGACCCUCGUGGAGCCUGCCUACCUGAGCUAAUAAGUAGUUUUACUAAACCUUUUUCCAUCUGACAUCAAAUCCAUCUGUAUUUUCUUCAGCUCUCAGCAACUUUAUGGAUUCACUAUUGACAGCUGACAGCUUAGCUCCAAUUAGCUUAUCAGGUUGACCCAACAGUAAGCAGGCUGUACAAUGAGUGUGACUCAGCAGUAUAAGCACCUGGUGUUGGAUGGAACAGGGCCCAGGGGACACUGUUCCCACUGGGAAAAUGGAAAACACCAGCAAGAAACUGGAAACCCUCCACUGAGAGGGCCACAGUGGAAGCUCUGAGAGACAGCAGGUAGGAGGAGAAACAAGCGAGAAUGAUUGGAGCUUUCAGCUGGGCCAUCAAUUGAGGACCAGAACUGGGUUAUCCUUUUACCUUCAGCCCUAACAGUGUCUGGUUUAUGGGAAAUGGUCUUUAUAUGUUGGUGGAGGAAACAUACAUGCAAGAAAGGAGACCAAGCAGGGCAGGUGGAUCAAGAAAGGUGGAGUUCCAUCAGAACAACCCAGAGUUUAUAAAGUAUGGCGGUCAGGACCAUGGGAAGAGCAGCCAAGGCCCAUAGUGGGGCAUCUCUAGGUGCUUGCACAGGUUCAGGAACCUGCUCAGGGGCCCUGGUCAUGAUUUCCUAUGGCAGACAGGUCUUUCACAUGUCUUCUGCACCCCAGCUCUCAGAGAAGCAGUGUUGCCCUGCAUCAGACUCCACACUCUGCUUAUGUGGCCAGCACAGUUUCCUACCAGGC